UACGAAGGGGGCUAGCGUUGCUCGGAAUCACUGGGCGUAAAGGGUGCGUAGGCGGGUUUUUAAGUCAGAGGUGAAAUCCUGGAGCUCAACUCCAGAACUGCCUUUGAUACUGAAGAUCUUGAGUUCGGGAGAGGUGAGUGGAGCUGCGAGUGUAGAGGUGAAAUUCGUAGAUAUUCGCAAGAACACCAGUGGCGAGGGCGGCUCACUGGCCCGAUACUGACGCUGAGGCACGAAAGCGUGGGGAGCAAACAGG
rnacentral:rRNA from 1 species